GCCUGGGUGGCUCAGUCGGUUGGGUGUCUGACUUCAGCUCAGGUCAUGAUCUCACGGUUCGUGGGUUUGAGCCCCGUGUCGGGCU
rnacentral:tRNA from 1 species